UGUAAGCGUAUACCAAAGUUGUUGCAGUUAAAACGCUCGUAGUCGGAAUUUGGCAGUUCCGGAUGUGUGCACGUCGUGUGCGCACUUCGCGGGGAUUGCUUUUGUGGUCUUGCGUAGGAUGAGGCACUUUUAUUAGUGAACGUCCUCACGCAACCACAUUUUACUGUGAGAAAAUCAGAGUGCUCAAAGCAGGCAUUUGCCGUGAAUGUAUUAGCAUGGAAUAAUAGAAUAGGACUUGGUUCUAUUUUGUUGGUUUGUUGGGACUGAGUAAUGAUUAAGAGGGACAGUUGGGGGCAUUUGUAUUUCGGUGCUAGAGGUGAAAUUCUUAGAUUACCGAAAGACAAACUGCUGCGAAAGCGUCUGCCAAGGAUGUUUUCAUUGA
rnacentral:rRNA from 1 species